UUCCGGUUGAUCCUGCCGGACCUGACUGCUAUCGGAUUGAUACUAAGCCAUGCGAGUCUUUGUAGUAAUACAAGGCAGACGGCUCAGUAACACGUAGUCAACCUACCCUAUGGACGAGAAUAAUCUCGGGAAACUGAGCAUAAUUCUCGAUAGAUCAUAAUGCCUGGAAUGGUUUAUGGUUAAAAUGAUUCGUCGCCAUAGGAUGGGACUGCGGCCUAUCAGCUUGUUGGUGAGGUAAUGGCCCACCAAGGCGAUUACAGGUACGGGCUCUGAGAGGAGAAGCCCGGAGAUGGGUACUGAGACACGGACCCAGGCCCUAUGGGGCGCAGCAGGCGAGAAAACUUUGCAAUGUGCGAAAGCACGACAAGGUUAAUCCGAGUGAUUUCUGCUAAAGAAAUCUUUUGCCAGUCAUAAAACCACUGGUGAAUAAGGGGUGGGCAAGUUCUGGUGUCAGCCGCCGCGGUAAAACCAGCACCUCAAGUGGUCAGGAUGAUUAUUGGGCCUAAAGCAUCCGUAGCCGGCUUUGUUAGUUUUCGGUUAAAUCCAUGUGCUCAACGCAUGGGCUGCCGAAAAUACUGCAUGGCUAGGGAGUGGGAGAGGUAGACGGUACUCAGUAGGAAGGGGUAAAAUCCUUUGAUCUAUUGAUGACCACCUGUGGCGAAGGCGGUCUACCAGAACACGUUCGACGGUGAGGGAUGAAAGCUGGGGGAGCAAACCGGAUUAGAUACCCGGGUAGUCCCAGCUGUAAACGAUGCAGACUCGAUGAUGCAUUGGCAUAAUAGCCAGUGCAGUGUCGCAGGGAAGCCGUUAAGUCUGCCGCCUGGGAAGUACGUACGCAAGUAUGAAACUUAAAGGAAUUGGCGGGGGAGCACCACAAGGGGUGAAGCCUGCGGUUCAAUUGGAGUCAACGCCGGA
rnacentral:rRNA from 1 species